UCUUUCUGACAUGUGUUCUUUUCGUGGAGAUGAGUCUGGAGCAAUGAAGAUCAAGCUCAGCAGCACUGCAGCUCCACUCAAACGAUUGUUCUUCAGCAAAGAGAUUGAGCUGAAAAAGUCCAUUAAAAGCGGCCCACCAAGUCAUCUGAAAGGAAAACUGAUUAAUGACAAGUUGUGCUUGGAGUGGGAAGCUCCUCUCCCGUCUCUGUCAAACCACAUGAAGUAUGAGGUCAAUGUUCAGAUCAAAGGAGUUGAAGAGUACACGAUGACAAAACCGGGAGACACUAGCAUGUGUGUGAGUCUUUCAUCAGGAAGCCAGUUCAGUGUAAGAGUUAGAGCUCAACCUGAUGGGUCGAUUUAUUCAGGAUACUGGAGUGACUGGUCAGAUGUCCUCUCAGGUACCAACUCUGAUAUUUCAGGUAAGUCUGAAAUAAUGAAAAAAUAUUCAAGUAAAAAUAAAAAGCUUUUUAAUUGGUUUAGUUUGAAAAUGUUUCACAGUUUCAUUAAAUACAGCACAAUGCAGCUGUAUAUCAUUCAUCUAUCACAACCUA